GUUGUACUUGCUGCAUCCGUUGUGGGCAAAUCUGGUAAAGUUCUGGUUUCUAGGCAGUUUGUUGAUAAUGUUGCGCAGAUAUGUGUACUAGAGUAGUUCUGUGAAGACAGCUUACCUCUCCAAAUUUAUGUGAAGACAGAAAGUUAUGAGAAAACAGCUUACCUCUCCAAAUUUUCUGGAUAUGAAUUGUAGCAUUUCUCAAGGUGAUAAACUCUUUUCUUGUUAAAUGUGUAUGGAUUUGUCUCUUUUCAUCAUUAUCCAUAUAUAUAUUGCCAACUUCUCUUCGUAUCCCUCACUCACUUACUAUAUCCCUCGCUUCAUCAAUUCUCUCCCUCAUCACUCAUCAUCAUCUCCAUGGCUUGUUGCAACUACUUCUUCAACCCUCAACAAAUAGAUGAAUAUCCUUUCCCACUUCCCAUUCAAUUUUCCUUAUAUGAUUAUGAUUAUUACUAUUAUUCCAGGUAAUUUAAUUAGAUUAAAUUGUUACAACACUCUAUAUAUACUUUUUUUUGUGAAUUAUUUGCCACUGUGCUGCAUUUAUUUAUGUUUAAUCUAUAUUUCAGUGGAAACAGUAACGAAUAUCCACCACUGGAAUGUUGGGCACAUGAUUUUUCAAUACAAGACAUGGAGUGUUACCCUUCACUUUCUUUUUAUGAAACUCUCUCCAUCGAACCAAUUUCAACUAUUAAAGGUGAAAACUGAUGGAGCAAACUCUAAGGGAAGAAGAUGCAGCUAACUGGGUUUACAGGGGUGAAGGAGCUGUUAAUCUUGUUCUUGCUUACAAUGGAUCAAAUCCUUCUUUUGUGAGUUAUUUUUUCUUCACUAAUUGGGGUUUAACUACAUGGAUUGAAUGACACAAUUGCAUGCCAUGAUAAUAAAUGCUUAUGUUGGUACGCUUAAUAAUAUACAGAUUUACUAAUAUUUUAAUUUGUGGUUCUUUGGAGUAAGGAGCACCAUGUAAAAACUAGUGCCUGAGCUUUUGUAGUCUUCUGUAACCGUGUCUUCAUUGUCGUGAGUUUUUUGACAUUUUCUAUCUGUAGUUAGUCUUUUUGAACUAUUGUCC